GACGAACGCUGGCGGCGUGCCUAAUACAUGCAAGUUGAGCGCUGAAGGUUGGUACUUGUCCCAACUGGAUGAGCAGCGAACGGGGUGAGUAACGCGUGGGGAAUCUGCCUUUGAGCGGGGGACAACAUUUGGAAACGAAUGCUAAUACCGCAUAAAAACUUUAAACACAAGUUUUAAGUUUGAAAGAUGCAAUUGCAUCACUCAAAGAUGAUCCCGCGUUGUAUUAGCUAGUUGGUGAGGUAAAGGCUCACCAAGGCGAUGAUACAUAGCCGACCUGAGAGGGUGAUCGGCCACAUUGGGACUGAGACACGGCCCAAACUCCUACGGGAGGCAGCAGUAGGGAAUCUUCGGCAAUGGACGAAAGUCUGACCGAGCAACGCCGCGUGAGUGAAGAAGGUUUUCGGAUCGUAAAACUCUGUUGGUAGAGAAGAACGUUGGUGAGAGUGGAAAGCUCAUCAAGUGACGGUAACUACCCAGAAAGGGACGGCUAACUACGUG
rnacentral:rRNA from 1 species